rnacentral:rRNA from 1 species
AAUCGGUUGAUAUUCCGAUACCACCUAAUAUCGUUUGAAGGAAGCAGUGACGCAGGAGGAUAAGAUGUGCACGGUGUUGGUUAUCCGUGUUCAAGCACUGAGGCUGACUAGUAGGAAAGACCGCUAGUCAUUAAGGCUAAGGUGUGAUGAGGAGUGAAACUAAGUAACGAAGUAUCUGAUUUCACACUGUCAAGAAAAGCUGCUAACGAGAUGUUAGGUGCCCGUACCGUAAACCGACACAGGUAGAUGAGGAGAGAAUCCUAAGACGAGCGAGAGAAGUGUUGUCAAGGAACUCGGCAAAAUGACCCCGUAACUUCGGGAGAAGGGGUGCCAGAGAAAUCUGGCCGCAGUGAAAAGGCUCAAGCGACUGUUUAGCAAAAACACAGGUCUCUGCUAAAUCGAAAGAUGACGUAUAGGGGCUGACGCCUGCCCGGUGCUGGAAGGUUAAGGGGAAGUGUUAGGAGCAAUCCGAAGCAUAGAACUUAAGCCCCAGUAAACGGCGGCCGUAACUAUAACGGUCCUAAGGUAGCGAAAUUCCUUGUCAGGUAAGUUCUGACCCGCACGAAUGGCGUAACGACUUGAGCGCUGUCUCGACAACACACUCGGCGAAAUUGUAGUACUAGUGAAGAUGCUAGUUACCCGCGAUUGGACGGAAAGACCCCGUAGAGCUUCACUGUAGCUUGACAUUGGGUUUUGGUAUUUCAUGUACAGGAUAGGUGGGAGACUAAGAAGUAGGCACGCUAGUGUUUAUGGAGUCGACGUUGGGAUACCACUCUUGAGAUACCGAAAUUCUAACCAGUGGCCAUAAGCUGGUCAUGGGACAUAGUCAGGUGGGCAGUUUGACUGGGGCGGUCGCCUCCUAAAGAGUAACGGAGGCGUUCAAAGGUUCCCUCAGAAUGGUUGGAAAUCAUUCGAAGAGUGCAAAGGCAGAAGGGAGCCUGACUGCGAGACAUACAAGUCGAGCAGGUACGAAAGUAGGACUUAGUGAUCCGGUGGUACCGGGUGGAAGGGCCAUCGCUCAACGGAUAAAAGCUACCUCGGGGAUAACAGGCUUAUCUCCCCCAAGAGUCCACAUCGACGGGGAGGUUUGGCACCUCGAUGUCGGCUCGUCGCAUCCUGGGGCUGAAGUAGGUCCCAAGGGUUGGGCUGUUCGCCCAUUAAAGCGGCACGCGAGCUGGGUUCAGAACGUCGUGAGACAGUUCGGUCCCUAUCCGUCGCGGGCGCAGGAAAUUUGAGGAGAUCUGUCCUUAGUACGAGAGGACCGGGAUGGACGAACCUCUGGUGUAUCAGUUGUACUGCCAAGUGCAUAGCUGAGUAGCUAAGUUCGGAACGGAUAAGCGCUGAAGGCAUCUAAGCGCGAAACCGACUUCAAGAUAAGAUUUCCCACAGCGUAGGCUGGUAAGACCCCAUGUAGACUACAUGGUAGAUAGGUCGGAGGUGUAAGUGCAGCAAUGUACGUAGCUGACCGAUACUAAUAGGUCGAGGGCUUGAUCU